rnacentral:lncRNA from 1 species
UGCUAAGACCUUUAUCCUAAUUCUAUGCAUGCCAUGCAAAUACAAGAUUAACAUCCUACCACUUUACACUUAACAGCAAUUUGAAUCUCCUCAUGCUAAAAUAAUCAUUCCAUGUAAUUCCCUUUUAGGAGAUAGAAUGCCUCCUGUGUCUUAAGGAUGAACCAGAUGAUUUGGUGUCUCCAGGGACCAGAGAGGUAGGACUAUUAGAACUCCCUGAGGUCUCUGGGCUCCUAUUUUCUCCUUGUCCUUUGUUACCCCCAAGCCAUAACUUAUCAAAGAUUCUCCCUGAAUUUGAGUAAUAUUAAUUAUUUAUAAAAAAAAUAUAAUAAUAUUUAUUGAAAUGUUACUAUAAUAAUUUAUAUAUAAUGUUAAAAAAUAUAGUAAGUAAACCCGUGCAACGCACGGGUAUAAUAUCUAGUCAAACAUGUAUUUCUAAGUAUGGUAAGACUUGAUAUUGACGCGCUAGACCUUAAUGAAGUAUUAAUGCAUGACUUUUGAGAUGAUAAUUGUGAUUGAGUAAUCUUGCAAUUGUUUGGUGAGUGUGUCAGCUCUGUUCAGCUCAGCCAAUUGUUGAACAGAUAAACCAUCAAUCAUUGAUUUGGUGGUUCCAACCGGCCAACAUGAUAUUCCUUUAGUUUUAAAACUUUUGGGUAGUGCAAGGCGAGGCUCUUAUGGCUAUUAUUCCCUCACUAAUUAAAAUUUUAACGCUCAAGAUUUCUAAUUUUUUUCCUGAACAUAUGUAAGCUUAUGGAAACCAUGCUGAAAGACUUAUCUAUCAAAAAUACACUUAUUACUAACCCAAGCACAAACAAAAAAUAAAUACUUCGGGAAGCCAUAAAUCACAACAUGCAAUUAAAAGAUCAUGAUUCUAUACAAAGGGCAGCACUGCAUAAAACAUAAAGAUCCCUAUCCCAAUGAAGAUGACACUGCCCCUAGAUACAUAAGACACAAAUAUUAUUACAUAUUUUUUUAAAUGCUAGUCAUAGCACGACGAGCUUCUAUUCCUUCAUAAUUGAUUUUGGCCCCCAAAAGCUACCAGAAUUGAUUUUACCUCCAAAAGCAAUUGUAAACAUAUUUCAAAACAUGUGCUAAGACCUUUAUCCUAAUUCUAUGCAUGCCAUGCAAAUACAAGAUUAACAUCCUACCACUUUACACUUAACAGCAAUUUGAAUCUCCUCAUGCUAAAAUAAUCAUUCCAUGUAAUUCCCUUUUAGGAGAUAGAGUGCCUCCUGUGUCUUAAGUAUGAACCAGCUGAUUUGGUGUCUCCAGGGACCAGAGAGGUAGGACUAUUAGAACUCCCUGAGGUCUCUGGGCUCCUAUUUUCUCCUUGUCCUUUGUUACCCCCAAGCCAUAACUUAUCAAAGAUUCUCCUUGACCUAGAUGGCAGCAACUGAAUGCCACUUCUGCUGUUUUUGCUGCUCUUCUUAUUCAGUUUUACAUCCUUGAUCUUCAA